AUUUUAAAAUCCUUAACCCUAACUACAACAUAUUCUCUCCCUCAUUCUCUCUCUCCCUGUACCAGCCGCAUUUCCUCUCACCAUUUCCCCUUUGUCUCUCCACCUAUCCUUCUUCUUUUACGCACCUAGAGAUGAUUCUCCUCGGCGCAUAAGCUUGGCCUCUUCUCCUUGGUGCAUAAAUGACUUCGACGGCGCCCAACAUAGGUGGUCGGCUGCAUGGAAGGCUUCUUUUGUACAUGCUCGACUACUUGGACGAUGGUGGCUCGAUCUUCAACGACAGAGAUUUGAUAUUGUACGAUCUAAUUGUUUGUGCAAGACAUGGGUUGUGUACGCUUAGGGCAGGGCUGGGCUUGUGAUGUUGUCGUUCAUGGAGGACAAAGUUAAGCUCGGAGGUGGCUGGAAACAGGAUUGGGCUCGCGGAUUGCAUUGUCGUCGUUCAUGGAGGAGGGGGCUGGGCUCGUUGAGGUGAAGGUUGGGCUUGCGAAGGUGGCUGGAAACGGGGUUGCGAAGCUCUAAUUCUUAUGAGGUGAACUUUUGGAGAACGCCUAUAAUUCUUGCUUCAUUGACUUGGUCUUUGAAUAUGCAUUUUUUCGAUGGAUGGGUAUCAUGGGACCUCAUUUGAGCAGACAUAUCGAUGUUACCUUGCAUCAUUUAUUGAAAAGCCACAACUUGAGAGUGGGGAUAAAAUCUUACAUGGAUUCAGAAACAAGAGGGAUAAUGGCAGUAGUAUAUGACACUGGACAGCUAAGGAGAACUUCCGAGAUUAUAUUUAUUGCAGUCCGAUGCUUUUUGUUGAGGGAACAAGCUUCACACACGCUUCUCAUACACCAUUUGGUUUGUCUUUUUAUGAAUAAUGUAAAAUUAGAAUAAUUUUAGAGUGAUAUUAUUUGUAAGAUCCAUCAAUAGAGUAUUAUAUUGAAAUAUUUAGAUUGUUAUUAUGACUUAGAGGUGGUUUGAGUAUUUAAUGUAUUUGUUUUUUUUUUA